rnacentral:rRNA from 1 species
UACGUAGGGGGCUAGCGUUGUCCGGAAUCAUUGGGCGUAAAAGGAGCGUGUAGGCGGCCCGGUAAGUCCGCUGUAAAAGCAAAGGCUCAACCUUUGAAUGUCAGUGGAUACUGCCGGGCUAGAGUCCGGAAGAGGCGAGUGGAACUCCUGGUGUAGCGGUGGAAUGCGCAGAUAUCAGGAAGAACACCACGGCGAAGGCAGCUCGCUGGGACGGUACUGACGCUGAGACGCGAAGCGUGGGGAGCAACAGG